AAGGGUGGGCGCUUGCGACGGCAGCGUCGGUCGGGAAGCGGCAUGCGGUUGAUAUGGGGGU
rnacentral:rRNA from 1 species